UACGAGAGGCCCAAACGUUAUUCGGAAUUACUGGGCUUAAAGAGUUCGUAGGCGGCAUGAAAAGCAGGGUGUGAAAGCCCUCGGCUCAACCGAGGAAUUGCGCUCUGAACUGUCGUGCUUGAGGAACCUAGAGGUGAGCAGAACAGAUGGUGGAGCGGUGAAAUGCGUUGAUAUCAUCUGGAAUACCGGAGGCGAAGGCGGCUCACUGGGGGUUUUCUGACGCUGAGGAACGGAAAGCCAGGGUAGCGAACGGG
rnacentral:rRNA from 1 species